rnacentral:rRNA from 1 species
UAGGGAAUCUUCCACAAUGGACGCAAGUCUGAUGGAGCAACGCCGCGUGAGUGAAGAAGGGUUUCGGUUCGUAAAGCUCUGUUGUUAAAGAAGAACGUGGGUAAGAGUAACUGUUUACCCAGUGACGGUAUUUAACCAGAAAGCCACGGCUAACUACGUGCAG